UGUAAUGAAAAGCAUAUGUUUUCUUGAAUGAAAGUGCCUAGCACAAUAUCACGGAAGACGAUUAGAAUGAAUUAUAGCUAAUUUGACUAGUUUUUAAAUUAAAUUUUAAAUUAUUAAAAUUAUUUCUUUCAGGUACAUGGAUGAGUAAUUAAUCGCACUAUAAAGCCCCUGUGUGAGUCGGACGCUCUUUUUAUAAAAAAAUCAGGUAGAAGAUUUUGUCCUGCAUAUUUUUCGGUGGAUUCGCUGAGGAUGGUAAUCGGGGAUAGAUAAGCAGAUUUAUACCAGCGCGAAUUUUUCUCAGCAUAAAAAAUUAGUUAAGAGUGAAUAUUCAUGAUAUAACAAUCUCUCACUAAACGUUGUUGUAGCAGUU
rnacentral:sRNA from 1 species